ACCACCCUUCCCCUCGCCCGUAGUGCAGCUUCCCCUCUGCCCUUACCACAGCGGCCGCGCAGGACCCUCGAGGAAGAGAGGCCCUGCAGUGCCUUCUCCUCUCUCUCAGGAGCCGAGCAUUGUCUGUCGAGUAGCGUCUUCGAGUUGACGGGUGCUUGUGUUCUCCAACACGUGUAAUUAUAGUCGUUUUGGACUCUUCCUCCUUUCCAUCCGCGAGUACCAGCUGGUCUUUGGUAGGCGUCUCUCGACUCUUCCGAUCGUGUGAAACAGAUCACCUCUCAGAGCUCCUUGAACGAAUUCUGUUUAUGUGGAAAAAGUCUAUCAAAAAGACAGUUUUAUUGAAAAUAUAGAAUAAUGUAUAUUGAUAUUGUUAAUAGGAACAAUAUUAUUGAUCAUUCAUUUACGCAUAAAGACAUAACGUAAGAGUGUACCGAAAGAGCUCAGAAAGAGAUAUAAGAAAUUUAUCAUCAGCAGGAAAACGAGACAGAAACGGAGGGGAGAAAUGCGAAUAAAUAUGAAGCUAUAAAAAGUGAGAGGUGCAGAUCGAAAGAGACAGCUGAACGAACCGCCAGGACCUCGACCGAGAGCGGAGAGCAUCGGUUAAAUAUUCUGAAAGGAAGCUAAGCGUGAUGGAAAGAAAUGUCUCUGGCAAAUGACAGAAGCAGAGAUACAUUUCCUCCUAAUUGCACUUGACAUAGUUAUGCUAGCGACUUGUAAGCUCGCUUCUUCCGGUGUUUUAAGGCGCCGGUGUGAUCGCGCGACUGAAGUGGAAGAGCGAGACGAAGGGAUAAAUGAGAUGUCUUGCGAGAAGUGAUCAGAAGAGUUAUUAUCUAAAUUUCUUUACUUGAAUAUAACUAAUAUUUUUUUUAUACUUGAGUGCUUGGGAGGAAAAUAAAUCUGGUUAGGAGGCUGACUUGGGAUGACUUAACACUCGACUUUCGACUGACUUACUGAUCGUUUCAUUAUAGACUGACUCAUAAUUCUUAGAGACCUAGAACGCGACUUUGAACGUGACGCUUCAUUGCAAAAACGACUUGCCCCCCAUAAAAAAAAAAACAAAAAAAAAAAAACAAAAAAAAAAUAAUACCUACAACAAAACGAAUUCUAGAAAUCAUUUAGAUCUCACAGGAAAUAGAAGAACACGACAGAGUGCGAUCAGAUCUGAAGGAACGACAUUUUGAAUCUCGUGCAAGACGGGGCCCCAACACUACAACCCCAGGAGACCUCAGGCCAAAACCAGUGCUUAAGGAGAGGAUCUACAGUGAUACAUCGAAGUCGUACUGAUCACCUACAUUCCCUUUGGACUUUUUGGCGGGAAGAAGAUCGACGUAUCUUGAGGACGCGAUUCCGGAUGAGCGACGGCGCGGAGGACUCCUGGCGGCAGCUCGGGUGUCCAGCAGGUCGCGGCAGCAGGUGCUGGGGCGACCGCCAGACUGAGCGUAUAUUUAGUGGCACAGUGACGGCG